UUUCUACUCCCUCCGUUCGAAAAUACUUAUCAUCAAAAUGGAUAAAAAUAGAUGUAUCUAAAACUAAAAUACUUCUAGAUACAUUUCCUUUUAUCCAUUUUGAUGACAAGUAUUUCCGGACGGAGGGAGUAUUUG
rnacentral:pre_miRNA from 1 species